GGGGAUGACUUGGUUUCGACUGGAGUAGUUGGGGUCAUGUGCAUGUCGGACUGAGCAACUCCGUUACACGGCUCAAACGCAAUAAAUGCAAACAAUACAGAUUACCGUCCAGCUUUCGCACGAGUAGCGUAAGUUUAACUAACCUUUUUGGACUGCCUCGCUAGUGAGUGUCAUCUUAACUAGAUUUUGGGGUAUCAUAUCUGAUGACUAUAUCUACGAGUUGCCUAGCUCUUAGACGAACCCUUAGGCUGGUUUAGUGUAGUUUUGGAUUGGUUGUACGAAACUAAGCGAGAACAAACAACAUCAUCUAAGCAUGUAGAGUCAUGGUUCUAGCUAUUUUAGGACAGGGGUUCGAUCCCCCUCAUCUCCACCA
rnacentral:tmRNA from 1 species